ACCAUUUCUUAUUAUUAUUUAUUUUGGCGGCAGGAUGGAGUCCUGUUUAAUAUUAGCACAUUGUUAAACAUUGAAUACUAAUAACAAGCCACCGAGUGAGAAGACUUAUAACAUGACAGUGUUUUAGAUGUCGAAGCCAAGGAAAAUCUAGACGCACCGCACGCAAGUCUUACAACCGAUAUCCCGAUGCUGCUGUUGCAGAAAGGAAGUCAAAAGUACUUGAAAUCAUGCUAGCAAUAUCUAACGUUGAGGUUCAAGAUGAUCAAAUUAAAGGAGAUUCAUCUCAAGUCUUGCACCCAGAAUCUCACGAUGUUAUAGUUAAAGUAGACAAAAGUGGUACCUUUGUUUUCCCUGUAUCAUUUAAAAUAUUUGAAAAGUAUCUUAACAAGGCUGUGCUUUUUGACCAGAUCGCCAAAAGCAGGGAAAAGUGCAUGGAACUUCUGGUUGACGACAAUUAUCGACUGCUCACGCUUCGAAAGUUCUACAACCUCUUUUACAUGUUUCCAGAAACAGAAUCCAGGGCGCACUUCUUUAAAGAUUUGCCAGGGAUCCCUUUAAGUACGUUAGUUAAACUUGGCCAACCGCAGGAUGAAAAGGCAUAUAAUACUGUCGCGGAGUAUGCAGCAAAGAAGUCCCUGGAAGACAACUCUAUCGUCAGUUUUAAAGUGUUCCAGAAAAAUAUCUUGAAUCUAUCAGACAUUGUGGAGGAGAUGAAGCAGCUUGAUAAUAAUUAUUUAAGCAAAGACUUUCGGGAGUGUGCCCUCGACUACUACCUGGCAUUUUACAUUACACCGGAGAUCCGCGAAAUGUACGCCUAUAAACUGCGAUCGAAUACAAAUGCCAUGAAGACCCGCCUAUUGGCCAUCCUAAAUGAAGAGGUGGCAGAUGAACUGAGGAAAAACCUGCGGCAGUUGGCUAAUCCUUCGCCAGCACUCAAAUUGCGUAGGUCCAAGACUCCCGAAAAGUCAACUGGCGAAGAUAAAAGUGCGGGUGAUAAUCAACUAAAAUCUAAGACAUCCGAAGAGUCUGUUAAAGUACCAGCUAUACCCAGCAUAGAGAUUGCCGACGAGAUCGGGCAAAUCAUGCCCCAGUUGCCUAUUUCUUCCCCAGGACUCAAACUGCGUAAGCCCAAAACUCCAAAAAAGACUGCUACUGAAGAUAAAAGUGUAAAGGAUAAUCACUUAAAAUCUUUGUCAACCGAAGAGUCUCUCCAAGUACCAACCAUUCCCAGCAUACCGAUGGCCGACGAGAUCGGGCAAAUGCUACCGCAGUUGCCUAUUUUUUCCCCAGGACGCAGACUGCGUAGGUCUAAGACUCCCGAAAAGACUGGUGCUGAAGAUAAAAGUGUAAAUCUCGUAAAAUCUUUGACAACCGAAGAGUCCAUCCAAGUACCAACUAUUCCCAGCAUACAGGUUGCCUACGAGAUCGGACAAAUCCUGCCGCAGUUGAGUACUCCUCAGCCAGCACUCAGAUUGCGUAGGUCAAAGACUCCGGAGAGAUCUGAACACCAGUCAGAAAGUGGAAAAGAAAAUAAAAUGAAAACCAUAGAGAGUCUUCCCUUUGAAACCGAUGUACAAAUUAAUAUUGGAAAAAGAGGACGCUUUAUAUUUCCGGUUUCUUUUAAAACUUUUCGUAGUUAUAUAAAUUACAAAGAUAUAAUCCGCCCCAUUCUUAUGAAAGAACUUACUCAAAAUGAAGCUGAACUAGCAGACUUGAUUGCUGAUCCCUCGAAUCCGCAAUGCAAGAAAGUUUUCCUUCAGUAUUACUAUAAAUUCUAUGCACGCCACGAUGUUCGCCAAAGGUAUGCAUAUAAAUUUAACUGCCCUGAUCCAAAAAUGCUAGCCAAGAUACUAGAACCCGCUAAACCGUUGGAUGAGAAAGCCAUGCAAACCGUAUCCCGCACCACUGCACCUCAAGUUGAAGGCAAAAGUCCAAAUAAAACCAAAGAUCAGGUCGCUUCCACUCUUGAAAAGCCCGCAAAAGAGUCUCCAUCAAAUCCAAUAUCUUUUGAAAUAUUCAAAAGUCGUGUUACGGUUACGGUUACCGACACCACUUAUAUGGACAAUAAAACCGUAGAUAAUGCAAAGGAAAGCGAAUUAAUACCUGAAUGCGAAAAUAAAGUGACUGGGAAAACGGAGAUUUGUACUAACAAAAAACCAAGAGAGAAGAGUGGACUUAAUCCAAUAACUUUUGAAAUGUUCAAACGUCGUGUGAGCAAUAUGGACGAAAUUGUAAAUAAAAUGCUGCUGUGCGAUGAGUAUAAAGGAAAAUCCAAGGAGAUGGUUUUUUACGACUAUUACGAAGGCUUCUAUUCUGGACCAGAGAUGCGGGAAAAAUUCGAGUGCCGAUUUAAGCCAUGUCCUAGCAAGAAGCUACAAAUUUUGCUUAGUUUUCCACCAAAUAAUGAAAAAGAAUGUCGAAAGGAAACAGAUUGCCAAGUUUGUACCUCAAAUGAACUAUGUGAGGUAGGUCAGCAGGAGUUGGCCAUUCCCAGGAGUAUUGAGAAGAACACCGAAGAUGUCGCCAAGGAAAGUGAGCAAAUAACUGAGCACCAAGCGAAAGUGACCACGGAGCCUGGGGCUUUUCAAAACCAGUCGCAUACAGAGCCUCAGGCGAUGCCUAAUGCUGCCUCCUCUAAAGCUGCCACUGUGCCGGACCUGGAGAGCCAAGGCCCAAUUGAGCGAAGUGAAUUACAAAAUAAACAAACAGUUGCAAAGUCGGCUAGCAUUUCGGACAUAUGUAAUGCCGAGAGGAUAGCAGAACUAGCUCGCAAAAGAAAGAUAGAUGUGGGUAAGUACGAACCCCAUAAUUUUUAUCAAUAUUUAUUUGCUGGUAGCACUUGCCCGAAAAAACAAGAUUAUCUUAAACAAAAAUAUAAAAUUUAUUGUUCAGCUCAAGAAAAGAAUUUAAAAGAAAAUGAGCCGGUAUCAACUUCAAGUGUUGAAAAAGUCAGCAGUGAUCCUGCAAUACCAGUUACCACACAAGAAGACAAAGUGCUGGAAACUGUUUCUAAUGAGAAUAGUUCAAGGCUAUCAGAAGUUAAAGAAAACAGCUCAAUUAUUUCAAAUAUAACCAUUAAAAAUGCAGUGCAGGCGAGUACUAAAAAUGUCGAGGCUGAUUCAUCCAAUAAUCCAAGAAGUUCUCCGCGUCCGAAGAGUCCAUCAGAAAGCUCUGAAGGAGCAACAAGUUCAACACAAAGUUCAGACACCCAAAUCCUUCUUGAAAAAGCAAAGGCAAUAUUUUUCGCCGAAACUGAACCGCAUCAUAAACUUAAAUACUUACUCUACACAAGUCAAGGCCUAAUGGGAUCCCUUUGGCGUAUACUCAACCAACUAACUCUUGAUGAAUUCGCCAAAUACACGAACAUCCACGACGGAGGGGACUUGUAUUUAAGCGAUGAAGAUUUGCAGCUUUGCUUUCAGCACGUUGUGACUUAUGGAAACUGGCCAGUAAACCUUUGUAUCCAAUUGCCAUAUUUGAAGAGGCUAUUCCAUAAAAAAGAAGGAGUAUAUCUGAACAAGCUAGAACUGGCCCAGCUAUCUCCAAAAAUAGUGGAUGCUUGGGAGUUAAGUUGCUACUCGGAUUUCGAUAAAAUCGUUGAACAACACUACACCAAUCGGACUGGCAAGAAAAUUGAAGAUGUGGUGCAUCUGUGUCAAGAGAGGGAAAAACUUUAUGCAUCCUGCUGGACACACAAUCAGUGGAUACCCUUGGCACCUCAGAUAACGGAUGAGACACUGAAUGCUGAACUUGAAGAAGUGAUGCCUAUUCUCGAUGAAAUUACAUUAAAGCCAAUAAGUGAUAUAAGUGGCGAAGUUGGUAAUGUCCUAACCGAGACUGUCUUAAUCUCCUCAAGUGCAGAUUCUGGUUCUGAGUCCUCUCAGCUCGAGAAAACGAAUUUUGUGGAUGUGAUGGGUGUGGCCCAAGCUUCCCAAGUACCACAAAUGGCUUGGGAUCCACUGAUUUCCGAGGAUCCUGGGGAUUUGCUUCCAGUGGUAAAGUCGACGGAAUUGGUCUCGGUCAAGCGGGAAUCCAUUGCAUUACCUACCAAUCUACGUGUAAUUUGCGAGAGCGAUGAUUGCCAAUGGGAAGAUAUUACGCCCGAGGACCAAAUAAUAGAUUUGGAUGCUAGCCAAAACGAGGGAUCGACCUUGUCUUGCUUUGAUAUCCCGAAUUCAAAAAAUCAAGAUUCGGAGGAAAUGGUCGAGUUGUUGCUAAGUAAUACCAACCUGUCGGAAGAUGAUGGCCCUGUCGGAAACGUUAUAGAGCUGGAAGCCUCAGCCGCUAAGGAAUUGGUGAUUAAUGCACCGACGCCAGCGUUCAAUAUUCCUGUUAAUCCGACAAAACGGCGGGCACCCAGCCCAGGAUUAAAAUGUAAGCGAUAUAAACUGAUGAACGACAAGGUGCCGCAGCUUAGGCACGAGUUCCAAUCGUUACCAAUGGGCGUGAUGGUGCGUCUUGAAUCAGGGCAGGAGAACAACACAGAUUCUCCAAAUACCAUGGCGAUACAACCUGUGAAGCCUACAAACAUGCCAACGCCUGAACCAGCUGAGACCCACAUCACUCCUUCGCAGGACUUCGCCGUCGGCAACGAACUUUUAGAUUGCACUGAACUGAAGGGACUGCUGGAUUCCACGAAUGUCAACACUCGAAAGAGACGUUAAAUGCAGCUGUAAAUCAAUUUAUUAAUUGUUUGUAUAAAUGAAGUACAUAUGUAUUUUUGUGAUCAGAGGAUCUAAUUAAGCUAUAAGAAUAAAGUAACUAUCCUGGCAAAGAGGAGCAUAAAUGUACAAGACUAAUUCUAAAAAUGAUACAUUGGAUUAUAAACGUCUUGAUGCCGCAGAUGACGAAUGCGGUGGAGAUCUCUAUUGCAAUUGAUGCUAUAUGGAUUUCCACAAUUAUGAUAAGGAUUACCACUCGCGUUAAGUAGAAAUAUUUUUCAUCUCCAAAAAUUGUUAAAGAUUACUUGGCUGUAAUCUAAACAUUGUUAACAACAAAAUAUGAUUUGUUGUGCUAGCUUGCUCAUAUCUAUGCGAAGUAUAUUGCUGUUUCAUUUUUGAAUGAUAGGGACCAAAAACCUUUGGACGUUAGUGACACAACCUACAAGGCAGGUGCGAAUGGUGAGGAUUCCGAGGUAAAACGCUAUCUAUGUGUGACAAUCUUAUGUUUUUGAAUUACAUUUUCCGAUUCGAAGGUCAGAAAAAACUUUGCAGUAGGAAGUCAGACGAAAAGUUCCAAUAUUUUGUAAAGGAAUUUAGUUCUCUGCCAAAAUAGUAAAACAACGCUUGUCUCGUUUAAGUUUAAAACCAAUCUAUCACAUUUAUUUUGGAGAUCUACUAGGAAUUAAAAUACAAGCUCAACAAGGUAUGGCAUUUUAUAUUUGGACCAUUAUAGCCUUAGUUAAGGACAAAACACUACAAUUUUUGGGCUGAAAUCGGGAUUAACACAAAAAGCAUUUUCGAUUUUUGUAAAGAAAAUUAAAGAAUUCAUUUGAAUUCUAACGUUUUUUUAAGCCAGUAUAAAUUUAAAGAUCAACGGCUAUGUAAAAUGUAAGUUAAAUGUCAAAUGUAGUGAAAAUGUAAAGUGCAAUGUCAAAUGUAGGGAAAAAUGUAAAGUUCAAUGACAAGUGAAAUUUACAAAUUUUGUGCAUCUAGGGUACAUAUAAUUCCCAACUUAUUCUAGCCCAACAGUAAUGAGGUACUCUCUGUGGCCAUCCGAAAAAUUAGUUAACUCAUUUUCAAGUGUGUGUGUUUGUGUUAGUACAGUGCUUCCAAGUGGUCUAAUGGCAUCCUCCAUCAAAUUGGUGGUACCUGGUCACCAGGAAGAUGCAGUGCAUCAUGGAUUUUUUUCGGAAAUCCAUAUUUUUGAUUUUUGAUGACAUGUGAAGCUGGAUACAUACGACGAUGCCUAC